UGGGGAAUAUUGUACAAUGGGCGCAAGCCUGAUGCAGCCAUGCCGCGUGUAUGAAGAAGGCCUUCGGGUUGUAAAAUACUUUCAGCGGGGAGGAAGGGGAUGUGGUUAAUAACCGCAUUCAUUGACGUUAUCCGCAGAAGAAGCACCGGCUAACUCCGCGCCAGCAGCCGCGGUAAUACGGAGGGUGCAAGCGUUAAUCGGAAUUACUGGGCGUAAAGCGCACGCAGGCGGUCUGUCAAGUCGGAUGUGAAAUCCCCGGGCUCAACCUGGGAACUGCAUUCGAAACUGGCAGGCUUGAGUCUCGUAGAGGGGGGUAGAAUUCCAGGUGUAGCGGUGAAAUGCGUAGAGAUCUGGAGAAUA
rnacentral:rRNA from 1 species